rnacentral:rRNA from 1 species
GACGAACGCUGGCGGCGUGCCUAAUACAUGCAAGUCGAACGCAGUGGGGACGGGUGAGUAACACGUGGGUAACCUCCCAUCAGAGGGGAUAACACUUGGAAACAGGUGCUAAACCGAUACUGAUGGAUGGACCCGCGGGGCAUUAGCUAGUUGGUGAGGUAACGGCUUACCAAGGCCACGAUGCAUAGCCGCGCUGGUCGGGGGAGCGGCCCCACUGGAACUGAGACAAGGCCCAGACGCAUAUGGGAGGCAGCAGUAGGGAAUCGUCUGCAAUGGACGAAAGUUUGACCGAGACACGCCGCGUGAGUGAAGAAGGUUUUCGGAUCGUAAAACUCUGUUGUUAGAGAAGCGGUAUCUAACCAGAAAGCCACGGCUAACUACGUGCCAGCAGCCGCGGUAAUUC